rnacentral:rRNA from 1 species
UACGUAGGUGGCAAGCGUUGUCCGGAUUUAUUGGGUUUAAAGGGUGCGUAGGCGGUCUAUUAAGUCAGUGCUGAAAUAUCCCGGCUUAACCGGGAGGGUGGCAUUGAUACUGAUGGACUUGAGUAAAGUUGAGGUUGGCGGAAUUGACGGUGUAGCGGUGAAAUGCUUAGAUAUCGUCAAGAACACCUAUUGCGAAGGCAGCUAAC